rnacentral:misc_RNA from 1 species
UGAGAAUCUUGUCGCACUUCUGCUCUGAGG